rnacentral:sRNA from 1 species
UUCUCGCACUUGCCUCCGCCGCGCUGCCAACAUGGCGCUUUCCCAGGGUCUGCUCUCUGCUCCAGUUUCACGUCUUGCUCUCCCUCCAGGGAUCUGAGCCACCUGACAAGACGGAUGAGGAACCGAGUAUCCACUGAAUUACCACGCUUGUGAUCCUAGCACCUGGAGGCUAAAGCAGGACAUCCCAAGUUCACAUCCAGGUGCCAGGUUCGGUUCCAGGAGCCAAGAACACGAGGUCCCUGAAUACACACACUCAUGUGCGGGCAAAGAGGAAAAGGAACAAGAAGCCAAGAGUCAAGACGACUUUAGAGUUGCAAAUGCUAAGAAGAUCCGGUUUGGGGUACAGGGGACAUUUGUUUCUAUUAAUGUUGGUGUGUGAAGGCUUCUCACAGGGCAUUCAGCAAAGAUUUAGGAAAGGAGAAACUCAGGCAGAGCUCGAAGCAUGGACAAAGGUAGUAACAAGCCGGACGUGUUUGACCAGCAGAGAAUGUGUGUGGCUAAGGAGGAGCCUGCCAAGCCAAUAGUGAUUGGAAAUGAGACAAAAGGAGAUGCACUGAGCCCAACACGCAGGGUGUCCUGACUUUGCAAACUUGAAAUUAUACGAGAAACACUGGCUUGCCACAGGUGACUCUGACAGCGUAAAGUGAAAAUCGAAGCGAUGGGGGGGGUCAUCUGCAGCCCCCUGGAGGGGGACGGGCAGUGACAUCUUGGUGCCUGACCUUUUAAAUUCUUUACUGCCUAUCCGAGUAUAUGAAUAAAUAAAUGUGUGUUUACAA